ncrna:unclassified sequences Fibro-purF
GGCCGCUUCCCCGCUUGCACCCGCAUGGGUGGGCUACGACCCCGAGGUAAGGGAAGCAAAACAUUCCGAAGAGGC